CUCUCACUGUUCUAGAAAUACUCCCAUUAGCCUAUGAUCUUUGCUUUGGCAUGGAGUCUGAUGACACAUUGAUACCAUUUUCUGCCUGUUAACCUACCAAAGGACACAAAACCCUCUUCAUUUCCCUAGAAGUACAUGUAAUAUUUCAAAAUGUAUCACGGGGCACAGCCAUCCCAGGAAAAAGAUGUAAGGUAAUGAGAUAACGUGAAGAAUUCUAGGCACUGAAACUCAAUUCUGGUGGUGAUUUUAGUCUGAGGAAACACAACAAAGGCCAAGAAGAAUGGGAUCGUCAUGACUGGCUGGGAAAUGAAUCAUGGGCAGCCCAGACGCAGGGCUUUGAUCAGUCCAGCUUCCUCCUCCUAAGAAGUUUCCACCAGAACAUUGCUUGGUGACAUAGUGGUCUUCACCCUGAGCGUCUACAAAUGUAUGUUAAGUUGCUAUUAAGGACCUGUGGACAGAGAAGGCACACCACCACAGAUACUAUAUUUUCUACAAAUUGAAGAUUUGUGGCAAACCUGCAUUGACCAAGUCUAUCGGCACGAUUUUACCAACAACAUAUGCUCACUUGGUGUCUCUUUGUCACA
rnacentral:lncRNA from 1 species